rnacentral:rRNA from 1 species
UAAUACAUGCAAGUCGAGCGGAAAUUUUAUUGGUGCUUGCACCUUUAAAAUUUUAGCGGCGGACGGGUGAGUAACACGUGGGUAACCUACCUUAUAGAUUGGGAUAACUCCGGGAAACCGGGGCUAAUACCGAAUAAUACUUUUUAACACAUGUUUGAAAGUUGAAAGACGGUUUUGCUGGCCCUUUUAAAUGGACCCCCGGCGCAUUAACUAAUUGGGGAGGGAACCGCUCACCCAGGGAACCAUGCGUAACCCAACUGAAAGGGUGAUCGGGCACCCUGGGACUGAAACACCGGCCAAAAUCCUACCGGAGGGAACAGUAAGGAAUCUUCCACAAUGGACCAAAGUCUGAAGGAACAACCCCCCCUGGGUGAAGAAAGAUUUCCGUUCCUAAAACUCUUGUGCAAGGGAAGAACAAGUAGCGGAAUAACUGGCGCUUCCUUGACGGGACCUUGGUAGAAAGCCACCGCUAACUACCUGGCAGCAGCCGCGGUAAUACCUAAGUGGCAAGCGUUGUCCGGAAUUAUUGGGCGUAAAGCGCGCGCAAGUGGUUCCUUAAGUCUGAUGUGAAAGCCCCCCGCUCCACCCGGGGAGGGUCAAUGGAAACUGGGGGACCUUGAGUGCAGAAGAAGAUAAUGGAAUUCCCAGUGUAGCCGUGAAAUGCCUAGAGAUUUGGAGGAACCACCGUGGCGGAGGCAACUGGCCGGGCUGGUACUGACCCUGAAGCGCGAAAGCCUGGGGAGGCAACCGGGAUAGAAACCUGGUAGGCCCCCCCGUAACGAAGAAUGCUAAUGGUGGGGGGUUCCCGCCCUUCGUGGCUGCGCUUACGCAUUAAGACCUCCCCUGGGGAGUCCGUCGCCAAGAUUAAACUUCAAGGGAAUGACGGGGGCCCCUACAAACGGUGGAGCAUGGGUUUAAUUUCUAAUCACCCAAAAAACCCUCCCAGGUCUUGGAUCCCGGUGAACACUUUGGGAACAUGUUUCCCUUUCCGGGGCAAAGGGAAAAGGGGGGUCUGGUUGCCUCCAGCUCCGUCC